GUAGGAGUACUUUAAUAUUUCCAAAGGUUGUGGAGAGAUUAAAGGUUUACUUGAGCAUCCCUCAUUUCCUUCUAAUUCCUAUGUUUUAGAGUAGUGGUUCAUUCAGCUUUCACCGUUGGUUAAAGUUUUGUGACUAUGAUGGUUGAUCUCUGUAUCUAGGUGUCUGGAAAUACACCAAAAUGGUAUCCUCCUCUACGGUUUGAAUCUUCUGCCUUCUCAGGACUUUGACUUCCCUUAGCAUGGACUCAGACUCCAGAAGAAACAACAGUGCAGCAAUAUCUAAAAAGUGUCAUCAAGGAAACCACUGUGGAUAAUCAAAGAUAGGAAUGGGUAAGGCUCAUGGUGAAAGUGGCAAUUUGAGCUGAGUCUUGAAAAAAAACUGUCUUGGAAAGAACAGAAGUAAAAGUAUGGAGACAGAAAAUAAUAGACUGUGUACUGAAAUAGGCAUCAUGCCCAAUGUGGCUAUAAGACGUCUGUAAUGUCAUGAGAGAAUGGCUAAGGUCACCAAAGAAAGUAUGCCAUGCAGGAGACAAAAGGAAAAUUGACAUAGGGCUAAGGGCUAACAAUAUGCUUUCUCUUAGGGGACAGGUGAGAGAAGACCCAGACAAGAAGCUAGAAAAUUGUUCCGAGUGAACCAGCCCAUUUCCAGGAAGGAAAGGCUGGUCCAAUGAGACUCACAACACAGAGAAGCUAGAAAGGGUAAAUGGAAAGAAGGCAUUUUUGCGCUGUUCUGAAGUUACUAGUGAUUGUUGAGGAGGACAGAGAAGGAAACCACAUUGCAUGGAUUGCAUGGUAGAAAGAGGGAACUCUUUUUGUGACAUUUGUAAUGAAAGAAAGGCAUGAUAGGAUGGUAAUGUGAGAACAGAGCAGAAUGAAGAAAACUUUCACAGUGACAGUAAAUCUUGCUGUCUGCAAUCGGAGUCAAUUUCCUGUUGUUCCCUGUCUAGGUGAGGUAGAGUGGGAGUCAACAUCACUCUCUCUAAAGAUAUAUUUAGAGAAGUUAUUACCAGGAACAGUUCCUUUCCCAAUGCUGGUAUUUCGGAUUUCAGUAACCAUGAACCUGGGAAAGAGCUGCAGUUGAGAAAAUGUCAGUGUUAACUGUGGGUCUAGGCAGCGCUUUUAGUUUGAAAAGAAAUGCUUCUUGUGUAAAGAUAAUUUAAAGACAGUUUGGAUUGAGAUACAUAAAAAGCAUUUAUUUUACUUUCUCUUAGGUUCAGGCUCCAAGGAUAAAUGAUAAUGGUGUCUUAUUAUUUUUUAUUAAAGUUCUAAGCCUUAUUUCUUCUUACAAGUUUAAUUGCCUAUGAGUAAAAAUGAAGUUAUUAGAAAGACACAGAUAAUCUAAAUAGAUUCCCCUGUUGCUCCCAAUCCUUACAUUAAUAGUAACAUUAAUAAUAAUAACAAUUUAUUAAAUAUCUACCAUUUUCCAAGGAUAUUAGUUACAUAAUGUCCAAUCUUAUGAGAGCAAGGUAGAUAUUAUUGCUCUCCUUUCACGUUAAGGCAAUUGAAGCUUAUAGAAUUCAAUUAAAUUGCUCCAGCUCACACUGCCAGUGAGUUACAGAGAUCAGAAAUUUUCUGUUCUCAUUGUCUACAUUGCUCAUAUUUUUAACAUCAAAAAUUAAGACCCACAAUAUAAUGACAUCAUGUUGAGUUUGCUUUUUAAUUUCAUGAAAUUUUCAAUGUCAUAAAACUCUAUGUGUCCAUAACGUUAUUUCCUUUACAUUACAAAACACAUCCUUUCAAAAACUCCUAACUAAUAAGCACUACUUAUUUUGUCCAUAGUUUCUCUUUCUUCUUUUCUUAUUUUGGGAAACUGAAGAACCCCAGUUGAUUCCAAAAUAGGUAAGUUUCCUUAAUGACCUGGUGUGUCAGUCAGCUUUUGUUGCUGUGACAAAAUACCUUAUAAAGUCAACUUAAAGAAGGCAAAAUUUAUUUUGGUUCACAGGUUUCAGAGGUUUCAGGUCAGAGCGCCAUGGAUCUAUUGUUUCUGGUCCUGCAGUGAGGAAGAACAUCAUGUGGGAAGUGUGGAGUGGAGAAAAGAUGCUUACUUCAUGGUGCUGGCGAGCACAGUGGAGAGAGAGUGAAAGAGAGCUCGCUUUUAUAAAAAAGUUUCUCCCAUGAAACCCUUGGAUUUUCAUCAGGCUUUUCCUAAGCACCAUUUAAUCAUGCAACCUUCUUUCAAUGCUUUGGAAGGAUUAAUGUUUCACAGUCCUUAGCUGGACAUAAUAGUUGAAGUCUUAUUGUAAGACCGGGGGCCUUACCAAACGCUCCGAGGAGCUGACUGUAGUGAAGCACACCCAGGGAUCCCAGCGGUGCCUCCAGAAUGUAAGACCAACAGCCUUACCAAACGCUCCGAGGAGCUGACUGCAGCGAAGAACACCCGGGAAGGAACACACCGGACAAGUUGGAAAAUAAAACAGACCUUUAUUAGUCUGGCCAGACGGCACUCCCAAAGCAAAAUAUCUUAGAGAGGCAGCUGGCUCAGAGUCCGAGGCUGUUUUUAUAGGGGGUUGAGGGGAAAGUUAACAUAUAGAAUUAAAGAAAAGGGGACAAAGGUUAGUGGUCGACUGUCAUGUAUUGAUGGUCAGCAGACAUUUGCAGCUUGUUCUAAAAAUUGUGGUGUCCGGAACAUCAGUUCCGGGCAAACAAGGAGUUGAGUAGUUUACUUUGGGACUUUAGGUUUGUUACAGAUUUUUAUCUAGUGUCCCAAAACUAACAAGCAUCUUUAUCCAUUAACUCACAUUUAAUCACAAUGGGGCUGGAGAAAAGGAACAAAGGUUAUGCAGUCCCACAUUAUAAUCAUUUAUUUCUUCAUCUUCUUUCAUUAUUUUUAGCUCUUAUUUUAUUUACUAAUAGAUUGUCUUUCCAUUCCUUUCCACCUUAUUUUUGCUUGUAUUAUACAAAACUUAUCUUUGGUCUAAUAUAAUUAUUUAUUGAUUCUUAUUUCACUAUGCCUAUAAGGAAGUGGAUUUCUUUUCUUUCUUUUCUAUGACAUGAUAGGAGGAAAGGAUUGCUCAGAGGAAAUGGUGUUUUGUAUUUGUAACGGUAUCUAGGCUCUGCUGUCAUGUCUCAAAUUUUCUUAAUGUUCUGUAUUGAGACUAUCUAAUAUGGAAAGUUAUCUUCUGUAACAAGUAAUUUUCAAACCUUGGAGAUUUUAUACAAUAAAAGAUUAUCUUGGAGAUUUAAUACAACAAAAGGUUAUUGUAGAUGGGCAUGGUGGUGCAUGCCUGUAUUCUGAGCUACUCAGGAGGGUGAAGUAGGAGGAUCACAGAUUCAAGGCCAGCCUGGGCAACUUAAUGAAAUUCCAUCUCAAAAUAAAAAAAUAAGAAAAGGCUACAGGGAUAGCUCAGUGGUAGAGCAUCCCUGGGUUUGAUCCCCAGUACUAGAAAAAAAAUGUUUAUUGUAGUUCACCUAUGUUAUAGUCCAAUGAAGGUACUGUAGGGAAUAGGUUUAGUCAUUUAGGAACUAAAUACCUUCUCUUUUGUGAGGCUACCAUCUUCAACACAUGGCCUCCAAAGUCACUAUGGAAAGGAAAGACAACAUGGAAGACCUAGCACGGAUC
rnacentral:lncRNA from 1 species